rnacentral:misc_RNA from 1 species
GGAAAUUGGAGGGAGUAGCAAGAAGGACCAUAUGCAGAUCCAUUAAACAAUCAUAGUGAUGUAUAAGAUUCUAUCCUUGAUAAAGCAGAGUGAUGCUGAUAAAAAUUUAAUUUGCAAAAUUAGAGACGAUGGAUGAAAUGGAAGAGUUCAUCUCAAUGAUUGUGUGAUUUAUGGUGCUUAGUGUUGGCUGAUGGAAGAGUAAUAUGUUCAAAUGCAUAUAGCAAGACUUGGACUUCUUGAUAGAUGAGUGGCAUUAGAGGAUUUAGAAUAAAGAUUUUUGUGUGAAAAGUGAGAAGUGGCACAAUUGAGGGUAAAAAGGAGGGAAAUUAAACACUCUUGGGCUGUGGUUGGAUUAUACCAACUCAAAACCUGCAAAUGAAAGGGAUGACAGGAAAUUUGGAUAUAUUUCUUGUGGACUCAAACAGUGAAUUAUGAGUAGUGGUAGC